CCCCUAGAUGUUCUGGGCCGCACGCGCGCUACACUGAACAGUUCAACAAGUCUUAACCUUGGCCGAUAGGUCUGGGUAAUCUUUGAACGCUGUUCGUGAUUGGGAUAGACCUUUGCAAUUAUGGGUCUUCAACGAGGAAUUCCUAGUAAACGCAAGUCAUCAGCUUGCAUUGAUUACGUCCCUGCCCUUUGUACACACCGCCCGUCGCACCUACCGAUUGAAUGGUCCGGUGAAAUCUCGGGACGGCGUCUCGGUCGCUUGCGUCCGACUGCUGAAACUUGAUUAAACCAUAUCAUUUAGAGGAAGGUGAAGUCGUAACA
rnacentral:rRNA from 1 species